GGACCUUGAAAAUCCGGGCGAGGGCCACGAGGAACACCGCGCCGGCUCGUACCCAUAUCCGCAGCAGGUCUCCAAGGUGAAUAGCCUCUAGUCGAUAGAAUAAUGUAGGUAAGGGAAGUCGGCAAACCCGAUCUGUAACUUCGGGAUAAGGAUUGGCUCUGAGGAUCGUGGCGCGCCGGGCUUGGUCGGGAAGUGGAGCGGUGCCAACGUGCCGGGCCUGGG
rnacentral:rRNA from 1 species